GGAUCCAGACUUUGAUCCUGGCUCAGGAUGAACGCUAGCUACAGGCUUAACACAUGCAAGUCGAGGGGAAACGAUAUUGGAAGCUUGCUUCCGAUAGGCGUCGACCGGCGCACGGGUGAGUAACGCGUAUCCAACCUGCCCAUCACUUGGGGAUAACCUUGCGAAAGUAAGACUAAUACCCAAUGAUAUCUCUAGAAGACAUCUGAGGGAGAUUAAAGAUUCAUCGGUGAUGGAUGGGGAUGCGUCUGAUUAGCUUGUUGGCGGGGUAACGGCCCACCAAGGCGACGAUCAGUAGGGGUUCUGAGAGGAAGGUCCCCCACAUUGGAACUGAGACACGGUCCAAACUCCUACGGGAGGCAGCAGUGAGGAAUAUUGGUCAAUGGGCGAGAGCCUGAACCAGCCAAGUAGCGUGCAGGAUGACGGCCCUAUGGGUUGUAAACUGCUUUUAUAAGGGAAUAAAGUGAGCCUCGUGAGGCUUUUUGCAUGUACCUUAUGAAUAAGGACCGGCUAAUUCCGUGCCAGCAGCCGCGGUAAUACGGAAGGUCCGGGCGUUAUCCGGAUUUAUUGGGUUUAGAGGGAGCGUAGGCCGGAGAUUGAGCGUGUUGUGAAAUGUAGAUGCUCAACAUCUGCACUGCAGCGCGAACUGGUUUCCUUGAGUACGCACAGAGUGGGCGGAAUUCGUGGUGUAGCGGUGAAAUGCUUAGAUAUCACGAAGAACUCCGAUUGCGAAGGCAGCUCACUGGAGCGCAACUGACGCUGAAGCUCGAAAGUGCGGGUAUCGAACAGGAUUAGAUACCCUGGUAGUCCGCACGGUAAACGAUGGAUGCCCGCUGUUGGUCUGAAUAGGUCAGCGGCCAAGCGAAAGCAUUAAGCAUCCCACCUGGGGAGUACGCCGGCAACGGUGCAACUCAAAGGAAUUGACGG
rnacentral:rRNA from 2 species